rnacentral:lncRNA from 10 species
CGGGGCCCGGCCGGCGGCGGGGAGGUCGCGGGGCCGGGAGGCGCGAGGUUGUUCGAGAAGCUGAAAUAGAAAUCAAUUUCUUGAUUUCAGUAGGAAUAGUGAGUCCCUAAGAGGGGAGAAGCCAGUGUUUUAGAGCAUGGGGACGACAUAUUACACUUGUAUUUUACUUAACAGGAUUCAACUAUAUGUAUCCAGGACAAAAAAAAAAUGAAGUGAAAUAAUGAAGAAAAUAAUUUUUUUUUUUUUAACCAGCCACUCUACUCAAGGGGCAUAUAUUUUGGCAUGAGGUUGGGAUAGAGGAUAGGUCAUUGCUGUAACUUCAAUCUCAGUUACUCUCAGGGCUCACAUGAUGUGAACAUUUUGCUCUGUGAUUGUAGCAUUUGAAGCCACGUAUUUUUUGGUGCCACAUUGCCAAGUAAAUGUUUUAUCUGUUGAACAAGUUAGAAAACAUUAAACUCUUUAAGCUGGAGUAAACCUCA